rnacentral:misc_RNA from 1 species
UUUCCGUAGGUGGACCUGCGGAAGGAUCAUUAAUGAGUUGUCAUGGGGUUCGAUGCUGGCAGCCAAUUUUUGGAUGCAUGUGCUUGCCCUACAAUCAUCUUCCAAACACCUGUGCACAUUUUUGAGGGAGUCUUGAGUUGGUUGCCGCUCUUGGGUGAUUUUCUCACAUUCCCUUAAAUCAUUAUACGCUAUUAACAAUGUUGAACGUGCUCUGUGCCGCAAGGCUAUUAAUAUAAUACAACUUUUAACAACGGAUCUCUUGGCUCUC